AAAUCAUUAGCUCAGCUGGGAGAGCGCGGGCUUUGCAAGCCUGAGGUCAGGGGUUCGAUCCCCCUAUGCUCCACCA
rnacentral:tRNA from 1 species